UGGGCAUGUUUGACCCCAGCUUCAGAGU
rnacentral:piRNA from 1 species